AGUGAACGCUGGCGGUAGGCCUAACACAUGCAAGUCGAACGGCAGCACAGUAAGAGCUUGCUCUUACGGGUGGCGAGUGGCGGACGGGUGAGGAAUACAUCGGAAUCUACUUUUUCGUGGGGGAUCACGUAGGGAAACUUACGCUAAUACCGCAUACGACCUUCGGUUGAAAGCAGGGGAUCUUCGGACCUUGCGCGAUUGAAUGAGCCGAUGUCGGAUUAGAUAGUUGGCGGGGUAAAGGCCCACCAAGGCGACGAUCCGUAGCUGGUCUGAGAGGAUGAUCAGCCACACUGGAACUGAGACACGGUCCAGACUCCUACGGGAGGCAGCAGUGGGGAAUAUUGGACAAUGGGCGCAAGCCUGAUCCAGCCAUACCGCGUGGGUGAAGAAGGCCUUCGGGUUGUAAAGCCCUUUUGUUGGGAAAGAAAAGCAGCAGGUUAAUACCCCGCUGUUCUGACGGUACCCAAAGAAUAAGCACCGGCUAACUUCGUG
rnacentral:rRNA from 1 species